rnacentral:rRNA from 1 species
GACGAACGCUGGCGGCGUGCUUAACACAUGCAAGUCGAACGGAAAGGCCCUGCUUGCUGGGUACUCGAGUGGCGAACGGGUGAGUAACACGUGGGUGUUCUGCCCUGCACUUCGGGAUAAGCCUUGGAAACUGGGUCUAUUACCGGAUAGGAGCUAUUUUUUGUGUGUUGGUUGGAAAGUUUUUUUGGUGUUGCAUGAGUUGGCGGCCUAUCUGCUUGUUGGUGGGUUAAUGGCCUACCAAGGCGGCGACGGGUAGCUGGCCUGAUGGGGUGGACGGCCACAAUGGGACUGAGAGAAGGCCCAGACGCCGACGGGAGGCAGAAGGGGGGAAGAUUGAACAAGGGGCGCAAGCCUGAUGCAGAGACGCCGCGGGGGGGAAGACGGCCUUGGGGUUAAAAAAAACAAUCGCUAGGGACGAAGCUUUUUGUGACGGUACCUAGAUAAGAAGCACCGGCUAACUACGUG